UACAGAGGUCCCAAGCGUUGUUCGGAUUCACUGGGCGUAAAGGGUGCGUAGGUGGUUAGGUAAGUCCGAUGUGAAAUCUCCAGGCUCAACCUGGGAAAUGGCAUUGGAUACUAUCUAGCUUGAGGAGUGGAGGGGGACUGGAAUUCUCGGUGUAGCAGUGAAAUGCGUAGAUAGUCGGAAAGGAACAUCAGUGGCGAAAGCGGCUUCCUGGACCAGCACCGACGUCAGGCACGAAGCGUGGG
rnacentral:rRNA from 1 species